rnacentral:rRNA from 1 species
UAGCCGUAAACGAUACUCGCUAGGUGUCGGCCACGGUGCGACCGUUGUCGGUGCCGUAGGGAAGCCGUGAAGCGAGCCACCUGGGAAGUACGGCCGCAAGGCUGAAACUUAAGGGAAUUGGCGGGGGAGCACAACAACGGGUGGAGCUUGCGGUUUAAUUGGAUUCAACGCCGGAAAUCUUACCGGGACCGACAGCAACAUGAAGGCCAAGCUGAAGACUUUGCCGGAUUAGCUGAGAGGAGGUGCAUGGCGUCAGUGACU